rnacentral:rRNA from 1 species
CUGCAUGGCUGUCGUCAGCUCGUGUCGUGAGAUGUUGGGUUAAGGUCCCGCAACGAGCGCAACCCCUGCAUUCAGUUGCCAUCGGGUGGAAGCCGGGCGACUCUGGAAGGACUGCCAUCGACAAGAUGGAGGAAGGUGGGGACGGACGUCAAGUCAUCAUGGCCCUUAUGUCCAGGGCGACACACGUGCUACAAUGGCCGGCACAACGGGAAGCGAGUUCGCGAGGACGAGCGGACCCCUUAAAGCCGGUCGCAGUUCGGAUUGAAGUCUGCAACUCGACUUCAUGAAGCUGGAAUCGCUAGUAAUCGCAGAUCAGCCAAGCUGCGGUGAAUACGUUCCCGGGCCUU